rnacentral:rRNA from 1 species
GGGAGGCAGCAGUGGGGAAUUUUGGACAAUGGGGGCAACCCUGAUCCAGCAAUGCCGCGUGAGUGAAGAAGUCCUUCGGGUUGUAAAGCUCUUUUGUCAGGGAAGAAACGGUGUGAGUUAAUAUCUCGUGCUAAUGACGGUACCUGAAGAAUAAGCACCGGCUAAUUACGUGCCAGCAGCCGCGGUAAUACGUAGGGUGCAAGCGUUAUUCGGAAUUACUGGGCGUAAAGCGUGCGCAGGCGGUUUUGUAAGACUGUCGUGAAAUCCCCGGGCUCAACCUGGGAAUGGCGUUGGUGACUGCAAGGCUAGAGUUUGGCAGAGGGGGGUAGAAUUCCACGUGUAGCAGUGAAAUGCGUAGAUAUGUGGAGGAACACCGAUGGCGAAGGCAGCCCCCUGGGUCAAAACUGACGCUCAUGCACGAAAGCGUGGGGAGCAACCAGGAUUAGAUACCCUGGUAGUCCACGCCUUAAACGAUGUAUACUAGUUGUCGGGUUUUAAUUCUCUUGGUGACGCAGGUAACCGCUUAAGUAGACC